UGUUGAAUGAUCUCCAACAAUUAAAUUCUGUGACUGGUAUAAAGUGGCAUUUGCACCAAUAUCAAACAAAGUCAGACUAAUGUAAAUUAUGUGUGCAAUUAGAAUAUCUUCUCCUUAGGGAGAAUUGCUUGUUUCUGCUUUAUCUAGAGUUUCCCUUAAUACUCUUGUGACUAGAAAAUGUUUUAAUUAUUAGCUAGGUUAUUCUUACUUAAGACUUUGAAGUGCCUUUUUUCUUUUUUUUUUUUUUCUGUUGUUAACACACUUCUUUUCUGACUCGACUCAAUUUUCUCCAUUGUCUUACCAUAAAAUGUCAUUACAUUUUUUUAUGGAGUGUUUGAUGAUUAGUUUGCUAGCUGCCUUAAGGGAGCGGAUAGGGCACACUCAAGAGUCAUUUGCUUGUUGUCUGUUGGAAGACUCUUUAAAUGUCAGCAUUCCCUGGGUAACUGUCAUUUGUUUCAAAGUUGAGGUGAUUGUGUGUGGAACGGAUGGAUGCUCCCCAAUUCCCAGAAUCCAGAAAAAUGAAACCAGAUGUGAUCAACCUGAAGUUGGGACACUUGGUCACAAGCCUCAAAGUCACUCAAAAAGGACUAAGCUAGUUAUUUCUCUUGUGUGUCCUUUGUGUCCUUGAUGUUUUAAACUGCUCAACUCCACCCCCACCCAAAAAAAAAAAUCCAGGUUAAUAUAAUAAUACAAGAAAACAAUUUUAGUUGAAACCAUUCUGGAACGUGGAGAGGAACUCCUUUUCCUGUCCUGUGUCUCCUCAGCAGAACCCAGCCCUGCGUGACAGAGAAGAAAAGGGUGGCCUGUUGGUCACCUGCCACUCAGAACGUAGCCCACUCUGUCUCCUGAAACCCCAGUUACCUUCAGUGCAGGCUCUGAGGGCAGAGACCCCAUUCUGGGCAGUGCUGAACCCCUGUUCUUAGCAAACUGUACAUGGGCCUGGCCAGUGGUAACAAGACUUAAUGGAAGCCAGUGGAAGCUGGCUGGCGUCUGGGUAGCCUACUUGUCAUGUAAGUCACUUGGUAAAGUGAGAAUGUUCUUUAUUCUGCUCCCCCACCCCCGGAACUUUACUAUAUCAGUUCUCAAACAUGGAAGUCUGUUUAAAGCCUAGUGAACACCAACCACCUUGGAUCUACAGUGACAUUAGGUUUGUUCUGUAGCUUCAUGUCAAUUUAAUGUAAAUUCCAGUUUCUCUUCAAGACUGUUCAAUCUCAGAAUAAUUAAACAACUUGAAGUUGGAUAAAAUUCUCCUUGGAAACUUGUGACAUUUUAUUGUAGUUCAAAUUGUAGCUUCUACUUUAUGCCAACCUAAAAUUUGUGGGAAUGCUAUGAGGAACUAUGAGAAAUAAUCUUAUUUCUUUGUCUACAGGAGUAUUUUUCCAUAAAGGGUUUAUUUGGAAGUUUCUGGUUGUGCAGAAUGUCACUUUCUUACUUGAGUUAAUUCCAUGGGUAAGGGAUAAUUUGGGGGCACACUUUGCUAAUAUAUAUGACUUCAGGACUAUGUUCCCUAGGUACUAAGACAAGUGCUUUGGCAAUAGCUACGAAGUCUGGAGUCAGGAUAGAGAUUGUCAUGAGGGUCUCCGUAGCCUCUAUGGCAGAGUGGAAAUCCUUAGGAGGCAAGAAUGUAGUUCAGUUCAGUGCAACUAAAUAAGUUGUUAUUGCUUCAAAUUUCAGUAGUCUGACCAUGAGUGGUUUAUUUAUUAUUAUAUUGGCAUAUUUAAGCCCAGCUCACCUUGGUGAAAAGUUUUCUCAUGAUAAUUAACUCAAUCCUGUGUAUACAAUAAAGCAUACCUAACUCUCUUUGAGGAGCAAAGUAAGCUCAGAAAAGAUUAGAUAAUGAACACAUCAAAACUUUAUAACAUGUGUGUUGCACCUUCCAUAAUGGGUUCUAUAGACUGACUUAAAAAAAAAAA
rnacentral:lncRNA from 1 species